CCAGACUCCUACGGGAGGCAGCAGUGGGGGAUAUUGCACAAUGGGGGCAACCCUGAUGCAGCGACGCCGCGUGAGCGAUGGAGUACUUCGGUAUGUAAAGCUCUGUCAGCAGGGAAGAGAAUGACGGUACCUGACUAAGAAGCCCCGGCUAACUACGUGCCAGCAGCCGCGGUAAUACGUAGGGGGCAAGCGUUAUCCGGAUUUACUGGGUGUAAAGGGAGCGUAGACGGCAAUACAAGUCGGAAGUGAAAUACCCGGGCUCAACCUGGGAACUGCUUUGGAAACUGUGCGGCUGGAGUGUCGGAGAGGCAAGUGGAAUUCCUAGUGUAGCGGUGAAAUGCGUAGAUAUUAGGAGGAACACCAGUGGCGAAGGCGGCUUGCUGGACGACGACUGACGUUGAGGCUCGAAAGCGUGGGGAGCAAACAGGAUUAGAUACCCGUAAUG
rnacentral:rRNA from 1 species